rnacentral:rRNA from 1 species
CCUACGGGAGGCAGCAGUGAGGAAUAUUGGUCAAUGGGCGCGAGCCUGAACCAGCCAAGUAGCGUGAAGGAUGACUGCCCUACGGGUUGUAAACUUCUUUUUUAAAGAAAUAAAACGUGGCACGUGUGCCUUUUUGCAUGUACUUUAUGAAUAAGGAUAGGCUACCUCCGUGCCAGCAGCCUCGGUAAUACGGAGGGUCGGGGCGUUGUCCGGAUUUAGUGGGUUUAAAGGGAGCGUAGAUGGGUUGUUAAGUCAGUUGUGAAAGUUUGCGGCUCAACCGUAAAAUUGCAAUUGAUACUGGCAGUCUUGAGUACAGUAGAGGUAAGCGGAAUUCGUGGUGUAGCGGUGAAAUGCUUAGAUAUCACGAAGAACCCCGAUUGCGAAGGCAGCUUACUAAACUGUGACUGACAUUGAUGCUCGAAAGUGUGGGUAUCAAACAGGAUUAGAUACCCGUGUAGUC